GACGAACGCUGGCGGCGUGCUUAACACAUGCAAGUCGAACGGUAAGGCCCUUCGGGGUACACGAGUGGCGAACGGGUGAGUAACACGUGGGUGAUCUGCCCUGCACUUCGGGAUAAGCCUGGGAAACUGGGUCUAAUACCGGAUAGGACCACUGCCUGCAUGGGUGGUGGUGGAAAGCUUUUGCGGUGUGGGAUGGGCCCGCGGCCUAUCAGCUUGUUGGUGGGGUGAUGGCCUACCAAGGCGACGACGGGUAGCCGGCCUGGGAGGGUGACCGGCCACACUGGGACUGAGAUACGGCCCGGACUCCUACGGGAGGCAGCAGUGGGGAAUAUUGCACAAUGGGCGCAAGCCUGAUGCAGCGACGCCGCGUGAGGGAUGACGGCCUUCGGGUUGUAAGCCUCUUUCAGCACCGACGAAGCGCAAGUGACGGUAGGUGCAGAAGAAGGACCGGCCAACUACGUGCCAGCAGCCGCCGUAA
rnacentral:rRNA from 1 species